AUACGUAGGGUGCAAGCGUUAAUCGGAAUUACUGGGCGUAAAGCGUGCGCAGGCGGUUUUGUAAGACAGAGGUGAAAUCCCCGGGCUCAACCUGGGAACUGCCUUUGUGACUGCAAGGCUAGAGUACGGCAGAGGGGGAUGGAAUUCCGCGUGUAGCAGUGAAAUGCGUAGAUAUGCGGAGGAACACCGAUGGCGAAGGCAAUCCCCUGGGCCUGUACUGACGCUCAUGCACGAAAGCGUGGGGAGCAAACAGGAUUAGAUACCCUGGUAGUCCACGCCCUAAACGAUGUCAACUGGUUGUUGGGUCUUCAUUGACUCAGUAACGAAGCUACCGCGUGAAGUGGACCGCCUGGGGAGUACGGCCACAAGGUUGAAACUCAAAGGAAUUGACGGGG
rnacentral:rRNA from 1 species